UACGAAGGGGGCUAGCGUUGCUCGGAAUCACUGGGCGUAAAGGGUGCGUAGGCGGGUCUUUAAGUCAGGGGUGAAAUCCUGGAGCUCAACUCCAGAACUGCCUUUGAUACUGAGGAUCUUGAGUUCGGGAGAGGUGAGUGGAACUGCGAGUGUAGAGGUGAAAUUCGUAGAUAUUCGCAAGAACACCAGUGGCGAAGGCGGCUCACUGGCCCGAGUA
rnacentral:rRNA from 1 species